AUUGAACGCUGGCAGCAUGCCUUACACAUGCAAGUCGAACGGUAACGGGCCUUCGGGUGCCGACGAGUGGCGAACGGGUGAGUAAUACAUCGGAACGUGCCCGAUCGUGGGGGAUAACGAGGCGAAAGCUUUGCUAAUACCGCAUACGAUCUACGGAUGAAAGCAGGGGACCGCAAGGCCUUGCGCGGACGGAGCGGCCGAUGGCAGAUUAGGUAGUUGGUGGGAUAAAAGCUUACCAAGCCGACGAUCUGUAGCUGGUCUGAGAGGAUGAUCAGCCACACUGGGACUGAGACACGGCCCAGACUCCUACGGGAGGCAGCAGUGGGGAAUUUUGGACAAUGGGCGCAAGCCUGAUCCAGCCAUGCCGCGUGCAGGAUGAAGGCCUUCGGGUUGUAAACUGCUUUUGUACGGAACGAAAAGCCUUCUUUUAAUACAGGAGGGUCAUGACGGUACCGUAAGAAUAAGCACCGGCUAACUACGUG
rnacentral:rRNA from 1 species